AAAAGAGACAGCAGGAAAUUUGUACUCUCAGGCUUACAAGAUUCUGUAAAUGUAGCCUUAUAAUACAGGUAGAAAUACUUUACAUAAC